rnacentral:rRNA from 1 species
CCAGACUCCUACGGGAGGCAGCAGUGGGGAAUAUUGCACAAUGGGGGGAACCCUGAUGCAGCGACGCCGCGUGGGUGAAGAAGUCAUUCGUGACGUAAAGCUCUAUCAGCAGGGAAGAAAAUGACGGUACCUGACUAAGAAGCCCCGGCUAACUACGUGCCAGCAGCCGCGGUAAUACGUAGGGGGCAAGCGUUAUCCGGAAUUACUGGGUGUAAAGGGGGCGCAGACGGCAGUGCAAGUCUGGAGUGAAAGCCCGUGGCUUAACUACGGGACUGCUUUUGAAACUGUUGAACUAGAUUGCAGGAGAGGUAAGUGGAAUUCCUAGUGUAGCGGUGAAAUGCGUAGAUAUUAGGAGGAACACCAGUGGCGAAGGCGGCUUACUGGACUGUAAAUGACGCUGAGGCUCGAAAGCGUGGGGAGCAAACAGGAUUAGAUACCCCCGUAGU